CGCAAGGAAAACGACUGGUGGAGACGCGUCCAUUGCAGAUUGCGUAACAAACGAGCUCAGAGCAGGGCUCUAAGUGCCCCAAAACAUUUAGGGCCAUUCGAAACCAUUCAGAUUAUUGACUCCACCUCCAGCUAAACGAGAUCAAACAGCCUUGUCUUUUUCCCUCUGCCUUUGUAACUAACCAAAGCCUGAAGUUCUCGGCAGUACCUUCCUAAUUGGCUUCAUUGUUUGGUUAUUGUGCUUAGAGCAGUUAGCAUUUGCAUUUCCAAUGGACCAGCCUGACAUUUCAGUUCCCUUUAAAUGACCCUUAAUGGUUUUCUAUGCUUCAGCAUAACCAGCGAAUCCACUCUUGGGGGUGAUUGUUACACUUACAAAAGGCUGCCUCAGAGGGAAUGUGGGCUCACUCUUCCCCUCCUGAAGAAGGUACAGCAGGAUACUUCAAUCCCGAUCUCCAUGGGCCUUGCCAUCUUAGCAACUGACCUACCUAGUAGAGGCCAUGCAUGCCUAUUACCUAUCGCCUAGCUUCCUGCUCACCUUUCAGAAUUACAUCUGCAGUGCCCUACUGGAGACACAUCCACAAAGCAGGAAAUGCUGAUGGGCUCCCAGACCUUACUCAUGAAAAGGAAUUUUGUUGCCCCUGAACUGAAAGCUUGCUGACUCUCCACAAGAAAGGCUUUCUCCAUUCCCAUGGCUGUGUGCCAAUAAGGAAAUAGGACAAGAUUUAUGAGCAUGGCCCAAAAUGCCACAGCAGAGUUAGAAUAAUUUUUAAAAAAUAUAUUAAAAAGCAGAAGAAUUGGUCUUGAGUUGACACAGAUUUGCCGAUGACUCAAUCACCUUUUAUUUUAAGGCAAAGUAUCUUUCUUGGGAGAGAAUAAAUGAACCAUUCCUCCGAUGUCUACCGUCA
rnacentral:lncRNA from 13 species